CCUACGGGUGGCAGCAGUCGAGAAUCAUUCACAAUGGGGGAAACCCUGAUGGUGCGACGCCGCGUGGGGGAAUGAAGGUCUUCGGAUUGUAAACCCCUGUCAUGUGGGAGCAAAUUAAAAAGAUAGUACCACAAGAGGAAGAGACGGCUAACUCUGUGUCAGCAGCCGCGGUAAUACAGAGGUCUCAAGCGUUGUUCGGAAUCACUGGGCGUAAAGCGUGCGUAGGCUGUUUCGUAAGUCGUGUGUGAAAGGCGCGGGCUCAACCCGCGGACGGCACAUGAUACUGCGAGACUAGAGUAAGGGAGGGGGAACCGGAAUUCUCGGUGUAGCAGUGAAAUGCGUAGAUAUCGAGAGGAACACUCGUGGCGAAGGCGGGUUCCUGGACAUUAACUGACGCUGAGGCACGAAGGCCAGGGGAGCGAAAGGGAUUAGAUACCCGUGUAGUC
rnacentral:rRNA from 1 species